rnacentral:rRNA from 1 species
GAUGAACGCUGGCGGCGUGCCUAAUACAUGCAAGUCGAGCGAACAGACGAGGAGCUUGCUCCUCUGACGUUAGCGGCGGACGGGUGAGUAACACGUAGAUAACCUACCUAUAAGACUGGGAUAACUUCGGGAAACCGGAGCUAAUACCGGAUAAUAUAUUGAACCGCAUGGUUCAAUAGUGAAAGACGGUUUUGCUGUCACUUAUAGAUGGAUCCGCGCCGCAUUAGCUAGUUGGUAAGGUAACGGCUUACCAAGGCAACGAUGCGUAGCCGACCUGAGAGUGUGACCGCCCAACGUCUACCGUCGCCAGCUUCCACAGACCUACUGUAGCCAGCAUGACGUGUGCUUCCGUAAUGCUUUACAACCUUAUGUUGCAAUGACGAGUGAGUGAAUAUGUUCUUCUAAUCCUAAAACGCCGUUACUAAAGAAAAACAGACGUCCACGUACCUCCGCACACCUGGACCGUACCUAAUCAGAAAGCCCCGGCCAACUCCGUG